CGAACGGUGAUGGCCAGCUUGCUGGUCGGAUCAGUGGCGAACGGGUGAGUAACACGUGAGCAACCUGCCCUUCACUCUGGGAUAACCACGGGAAACGGUGGCUAAUACCGGAUACGAGACGUACCUGCAUGGGUGGCGUCUGGAAAGAUUUAUCGGUGGGGGAUGGGCUCGCGGCCUAUCAGCUUGUUGGUGGGGUAAUGGCCUACCAAGGCGACGACGGGUAGCCGGCCUGAGAGGGCGACCGGCCACACUGGGACUGAGACACGGCCCAGACUCCUACGGGAGGCAGCAGUGGGGAAUAUUGCACAAUGGGCGCAAGCCUGAUGCAGCGACGCCGCGUGAGGGAUGACGGCCUUCGGGUUGUAAACCUCUUUCAGCAGGGAAGAAGCGCAAGUGACGGUACCUGCAGAAGAAGCGCCGGCUAACUACGUGCCAGCAGCCGCGGUAAUACGUAGGGCGCAAGCGUUGUCCGGAAUUAUUGGGCGUAAAGAGCUCGUAGGCGGUUUGUCGCGUCUGCUGUGAAAACUCGAGGCUCAACCUCGGGCUUGCAGUGGGUACGGGCAGACUAGAGUGCGGUAGGGGUGACUGGAAUUCCUGGUGUAGCGGUGGAAUGCGCAGAUAUCAGGAGGAACACCGAUGGCGAAGGCAGGUCACUGGGCCGCAACUGACGCUGAGGAGCGAAAGCAUGGGGAGCGAACAGGAUUAGAUACCCUGGUAGUCCAUGCCGUAAACGUUGGGCACUAGGUGUGGGGCUCAUUCCACGAGUUCCGUGCCGCAGCAAACGCAUUAAGUGCCCCGCCUGGGGAGUACGGCCGCAAGGCUAAAACUCAAAGAAAUUGACGGGGGCCCGCACAAGCGGCGGAGCAUGCGGAUUAAUUCGAUGCAACGCGAAGAACCUUACCAAGGCUUGACAUACACCGGAAACUUCCAGAGAUGGUUGCCCCGU
rnacentral:rRNA from 1 species